AUGGCAACAACGUUUUCUUCCAUCCUGUGCAAGAUCCUUCUCGUUAUUGUAGCCAUGCUUGCCCUCCUUUGCUCUGCCUAUGCAAGAGACGCAUCAGAAUAUGGGCAGUGUUUUUCCCGGCCUGAAUGCAGCAACUACUGCAAGCAGCAAGGAUACCUCAGGGGAGGGGAGGUCAUGCCGCCCAACUUCAUGGACUGUUGCUGUCUCAUAUGA
rnacentral:rRNA from 1 species